CAGCAGCCGCGGGAAUACAGAGGGUGCGAGCGUUAAUCGGAAUUACUGGGCGUAAAGCGCGCGUAGACGGUUUGGUAAGUCAGAUGUGAAAUCCCUGGGCUCAACCUGGGAACUGCAUUUGAUACUGCCUGGCUAGAGUAUCGAAGAGGGAAGUGGAAUUUCCGGUGUAGCGGUGAAACGCGUAGAUAUCGGAAGGAACACCAGUGGCGAAAGCGACUUCCUGGUCGAAUACUGACGCUCAUGCACGAAAGCGUGGGGAGCAAACAGGAUUAGAUACCCGUGUAGUCCCUGUCUCUUAUAC
rnacentral:rRNA from 1 species